rnacentral:rRNA from 1 species
AUGGGCGGCGGCAGCAGAUCGCGCGCGAAGGAGGCCGACGGCGAGUCGGAGGUCCGGCCGGGCGGGAUGUUCGUGCAGCGCAGGGACGGCGAGGAGGGCCCCACCGUCAGGCUCAGGGUGUCCCACGGCCCCGCCCUGCGCGACGUCUUCGUGCCGGCGCAGGCCACCUUCGGUGAACUGAAGAGGAUCCUCGCCCAGACUAUUGGCUUGGAGCCUGAGAGACAGAGGCUCUUUUUCCGUGGUAAGGAGAAGAGGGACGAUGAAUUCCUGCACGCAUCAGGCGCCAAGGAUGGAGCAAAAUUGCUUCUGCUUGAGAAACAUGUCCCUGCCAAUGUGGAACAGAAGGUCGAGCCAGUGAUGAUGGAUGAGAGCAUGAUGAGGGCUUGUGAGGCUGUUGUUCGUGUCAGAUCUGAAGUUGACAAGCUCUCUGCUAAGGUGAAGGAACAAUACUUGCCGCACCUGGUGUGUGAGUUGGAGAAGAGUGUCCUUGCAGGGAAGAAGGUCGAGGAUAAAGAAUUUGUUGUCUUGACGGAGCUGCUUAUGGUGCAGCUGCUGAAACUCGAUGGCAUAGAGGCAGAGGGAGAAGCAAGGGCACAAAGGAAGGCCGAGGUGCGCCGAGUUCAGAAUCUUGUUGAGACCUUGGACAAGCUGAAGGCAAGGAAUGCCAACCCUUUCAGUGAUAGCGCCAAAUCUGUUUCGGUGUCGACCGAGUGGGAGACGUUUGAAAACGGCGUGGGCAGCUUGAAUGCUCCGCCGGCCCGAUUUUCUUCGACGCAAAAUGACACUGACUGGGAGCAGUUCGACUAG